GCUUCUAACCAUGUCUUUUGCAUGCUACAAAGGUCGGAGUUUCGUGGUCUAAACGGAUGUCUACAGCAACUUUUGAUCAACACUUGACAUCCUAAACUCUUUGUUGACAUAUUUUUGAUGUUUCCUUUCAGAAAACUUUCUUCAAAAAUAUUAAUUUUUGCAUUUUUGGCUUCUCGGGUGAUUUUGGCUGUCUGUGGGUGAUUUUGGCCCACGUGGGCUGUCUCUUCAGUACACACACACGGACGUCCGUGUGUGUCCGUCAGCACACACAGGACGUCCGUGGCCGUCCGUCAGCACACACAGGACGUCCGGCUGUCCAUUAGUACACAUAUCAGCACGCUCCGUGGACUGUUCGGGUGAUUUUGGCCCACGUGGGCAGUCUGUUCAGUACACACAGGACGUCCGUCAGCACACGCAGGAUGUCCGUGGCUGUCCGUGUGUGUCCGUGUGUCCGUCAGUGCACACAGGACGUCCGUCAGCACACACAGGACGUCCGUCAGCACACGCAGGACAUCCGUCAGCACACCCAGGACGUCCGUGUGUGUCUCGUGUCGGUCAGCACACGCAGGACGUCCGUCAGUACACACAGGACGUCCGUCAGUACACAAAAGACGUCCGUGGCCGUCCGUCAGUACACACAGGACGUCUGUGGCCGUCCGUCAGCACACACAGGACGUCCGUCAGUACACAGAGGACGUCCGUGGCCGUCCGUCAGCACACACAGGACGUCCGUCAGCACACGCAGGACGUCUGUGGCUGUCUGUGUGUGUCCGUGUGUCCGUCAGUACACACAGGACAUCUGUCAGUACACACAGGACGUCCAUCAGCACACACAGGACGUCCGUGGCCGUCUGUCAGUACACACAGGACGUCCGUGGUCGUCCGUCAGUACACAUAUCAGCAUGCUGGCCCUUCCUGUGGACUGUUCGGGUGAUUUUGGCCCACGUGGGCUGUCUGUUCAGUACACACAGGACGUCCGUCAGCACACGCAGGACGUCCGUGCCUGUCCGUUAGCACACACAGACUGUCCGUGGACUGAUCCGUGUACUGAACUCAUAUCAGCAUGCUGACCACACAUAUCAGCAUGCUGGCCCUUCCCGUGGACUGUCCGUGUACUGAUUUUGGACAACUGAUGCACCAUGUCAGUACACAUAUCAGCAUGCUGGCCCUUCCCGUGGACUGUCCGUGUACUGAUCCGUGUACUGAACAUAUCAGCAUGCUGACCACACAUAUCAGCAUGCUGGCCCUUCCCGUGGACUGUCCGUGUACUGAUCCGUGUACUGAACAUAUAUCAGCAUGCUGACCACACAUAUCAGCAUGCUGGCCCUUCCCGUGGACUGUCCGUGUACUGAUCCGUGUACUGAACAUAUAUCAGCAUGCUGACCACACAUAUCAGCAUGCUGGCCCUUCCCGUGGACUGUCCGUGUACUGAUUCUGGACAACUGAUGCACCAUGUCAGUACACAUAUCAGCACGCUGGCCCUUCCCGUGGACUGAUCCGUGUACUGAACUCAUAUCAGCAUGCUGACCAUACAUAUCAGCAUGCUGACCAUACAUAUCAGCAUGCUGGCCCUUCCCGUGUGUUGUAGGCACAGGGGGGGUAACCCACGAAUGGAUAGAUGUUGGAUCCAAGCUACAACCUGAGAACAAUGAGAACCGAUUUUUAUGAGUUUUUAGAGUUUUAUAAUGCAAACAGAAAAAAAUAUGAAUAUGAAUCAAAAUGAUAAUAUGAAUAAAAACAAAUAGAAAAGGGAUAGAUUGAUGGAUAUGGGAUCUUUGUUGCUGGAUGUGUAUCACUCUCAACAAGGAUCAAUGGAUGGGAGAUGAAUGAAGAUGGAACCGGUCUUGCUGGAUGUGUAUCACUCUCAAGAUCGAUUAAUGGUGGAGUUGGGAUGAUGGACGCCACAAAGCUCUGUGAAAGGAGGCUUUGAUAAGUCAAGUUGCUCCAGAGUUGUUUCUCACACACUCAAAAGACUUAGAACAAUAGUUUUGACAAAACUAGAAAAACUGAAUAAUUCAUAAUACUUUCAAAGAUGGAUUUACAAUGACACAAAGACUAGAGCUUUAUAGGCUCGACCAAGGACUCUCUAACAGUCAUAAAAUGACAUAAGGAAAGAAAUAAAAAUCGAAAUAAUAAACUUGGAAGCAAAGGAAUUGAUGGCUCCUUGAAAACUAGCCGUUGGAGGCUUAAUGAUGAGAAUCUUGGCCAAAUGAAUGUAGAUGGUGUCCUCCUUGUAUCUGGACGGUUUGAAGGGGUAAGUGAGCUUCCUGGGAAUCUUCUUAAUGUUCUGGAAGGUGCUGAUGUCGUGCAUAGACUGAAGGAAAAAGAGCUGUUGGAGUUUUAAUGCUUGAGACUCCAAAUAAGGCAAGUUGAAGUAAAUGAGGAUCCUCCUGAUCCAAUGGUUGCUGGUGCAUGGUAUGAACUUGUAGAACUCCUCCUGGAUGCCUAGAAUAUCUCCUGAUUGGUUGAAAUGAUCUCCUGGUCGCCAAUAUCUGGUUUG
rnacentral:lncRNA from 1 species